CAGGCUGUCUGUCACCACGCCAUAGUUACUGGGGAUUUCUACUGGGCUCUGCAGAUGCUCUGACUGCUAUGGCUCUUGGACUUGCUUUAAGGGUCUCUUGGCUCUGUUGUCUACUUUCUGGAGGAAGUAAUGUUUUUCUUGCCCAAAGAGGCUAUGGCUAUCCAUAUG